rnacentral:tRNA from 1 species
GGGGGCUGUGGCUCAGUGGUAGAGCCCCUGCUUGGCAUGCAGAUGCCCCCAGGUUCAAUCCCCGGCAUCUCCG